GAGUGUACAGACAUCCACUUGGCAGUGUGUGGUAUCAAAGAGUCACUCGAAUGCAUAUAGAUGGAAUAUGUUGUAGAAGGUGUGUCAAUUGAUUUGUUGGAAUUGUAGGCACCGGAAACUCAAUAGCCAGACGGAUAUCCUGAGGUAGAUUCUCACACGCACCGCCAUCCCGUAGGGGCUGCUGUGCAAUAACAUCCGGUGCCUGAUCCUGGGCAACAACCGGCUCACCGGCAAAAUACCGAGCGACUGCGGUGACGACGAGGUCUACAGCCCACACAUCUCCCGUAUCUGGCUAGUCGGCCACCUGGUGGUCAAGAUUGACCUGUCGUGAAACGAGCUCGAGUUCGAGAAGAACGACAUUAGGUUUCGCGCCACCUCAUGUUCUUGUACCUCGGUUCAACGACAGCGUGGCCCCGCCGUCACCAUCGUCUUACCCAUAACGUUAACUACUCCUACUUGUGAGCCAUUUUUUACCCAUAAUGUUAAAUUCAUAGUCUUGUACUCCCUUCAUCUCAAAAUAAGUGACCCAACUUCAUACCAAGUUUGUACGAAAUUUAUUCUUGCUCUGCCCAACGGAGGUUUCAUUUGAUUCUGUUAUGAUGUCAAGAUUACAUAACUUGCAUCCCCGUCUAGCUCCAGAAACAAUCAAAAUCACUGGAAACUGACAGGAACAAUGAUCUAUAACUCAAAGCAACAUGUACCCCCGUCCAACCUGCACACAAUUUGGUUUGUCUCUUUCUG
rnacentral:lncRNA from 1 species